GUGGUCUUUACGCCCAAGGGAGGGGUAAUGGGCCUGAGACCGGGCCCUCGGGCCGAACCGAAACCGGUGACGGGAGUAGGUGGAUGAGAGCCCGCAAACCUCUCCCCGCCCGUUGAAAGCCUCGCCCUUCAAGGCGGGGAGGAGGUCAGGAGGAGAUAACC
rnacentral:sRNA from 16 species